rnacentral:ribozyme from 1 species
AAAAGUGGAAGGGGUGGACAGAGGUUCUUCCGUUCGCGAGUUCGGUUUUCAAUUUUUUUUUUUUCUUCGAUUUUUUUUCUUCUUU